GAUGAACGCUUGCGGCAUGCCUGAGAAAUGCAAGUCGAACGAAUCUCAAGGAGCAAUCUUUGAGGUUAGUGGCGAACGGUCGAGUAACACGUAAGCAACCUGCCCACCAGCGGGGGAUAAGCCGUCGAAGACGGGGUAAGUACCGCAUAUCUUCAUGUAGGACAUCCUUAAUGAAGAAAGAUUUAUCACUGGUGGAGGGGCGUUG
rnacentral:rRNA from 1 species